GCGGCGCGCUUCGGGCCCCGUCCCGGCCUUCGGGCGGCCCCGGCCGACGCCUUCGGGCCGGCUCGGUGGAGUCCGGAUGGAGGACUCGGACUCGGCCGCCAAGCAGCUGGGCCUGGCCGAGGCGGCGGCGGUGGCGGCCGCGGCCGCUGUGGCGGCGGCGGCCGCGGCCGCAGCAGGAGGCGAGGCGGAGGAGCCGGUGCUCAGCAGGGACGAGGAUUCGGAGGAGGACGGGGACUCGGAGGCAGAGCGCGAGACGCGGCGGGUGACGGCCGUGGCGGUGAUGGCCGCCGAGCCCGGGCACAUGGACAUGGGCGCCGAGGCCCUCCCGGGCCCCGACGAGGCCGCCGCGGCCGCCGCCUUCGCAGAGGUGACCACGGUGACCGUGGCCAACGUGGGUGCCUCCGCAGACAACGUCUUCACCACGUCCGUGGCGAAUGCUGCCUCCCUCUCGGGACACGUUCUGUCUGGCAGGACGGCGCUGCAGAUCGGGGACAGCCUGAACACCGAGAAGGCCACGCUGAUCGUCGUGCACACAGACGGGAGCAUCGUGGAGACGGCCGGGCUGAAGGGGCCCGCCGCUCCGCUCACCCCAGGCCCUCAGUGUCCUCCAAGUCCUGCAGCUCCCGGCCAGGAAAGAGGGGGCACCAAGUACAACUGGGACCCGUCAGUGUAUGACAGCGAGCUGCCCGUGCGGUGCCGGAACAUCAGCGGCACGUUGUUCAAGAGUCGGCUGGGCUCAGGGGGCCGGGGCCGCUGCAUUAAGCAGGGGGAGAACUGGUACAGUCCCACCGAGUUUGAGGCCAUGGCGGGGAGAGCCAGCAGUAAAGACUGGAAGAGGAGCAUCCGCUACGCAGGCCGGCCGCUGCAGUGCCUCAUUCAGGACGGGAUCCUAAACCCUCAUGCUGCGUCUUGCACCUGCGCCGCGUGCUGUGACGACAUGACCUUGAGCGGCCCGGUCAGGCUCUUCGUCCCCUACAAAAGGCGCAAGAAGGAGAGUGAGCUGCCUGCAACCCCCGUGAAGAAGGAGCCCCCCAAAAACAUCGCGCUGCUCCCUGCCGCAGCGGCCGCCGCCUUCACCGUGACCCCCUCAGGACAGAUCACUACCUCGGGCGCGCUGACCUUUGACCGGGCGUCCACUGUGGAGGCUACCGCAGUCAUCUCAGAGAGCCCGGCCCAGGGCGAUGUCUUCGCGGGAGCCACGGUGCAAGAGGCAGGGGUGCAGCCCUCCUGCAGAGUCGGCCACCCGGAGCCCCACUACCCAGGUUACCAGGACAGCUGUCAGAUUGCGCCGUUUCCAGAAGCUGCGUUGCCGACAUCUCAUCCCAAAAUAGUGCUAACCUCGCUGCCGGCCUUGGCAGUUCCACCGUCCGCCCCCACCAAAGCCGCGUCUCCCACGGCGGUCACCGGGCUGGAAAUGUCGGAGCCGCGGAGCUGGCUGUACCUGGAAGAGAUGGUCAACUCCUUGCUCAGUACGGCGCAGCAGCUGAAGACGCUGUUCGAGCAGGCCAAGCAGGCCAGCUCCUACCGAGAAGCGGCCGUGGCCCAGGCCCGCGUCCAGGCAGAGACCGAGCGGAAAGAGCAGUCCUGUGUCAACUGCGGCCGGGAGGCCCUGAGCGAGUGCACCGGCUGCCACAAAGUGAACUACUGCUCCACCUUCUGCCAGCGCAAGGGCAGAGCUCUUUAGCGGAGAUCGUGCUGUGGGCAUUGAGUCUUAGAACUCUUGCCAGUUUCCUGUUUCCUCUUAAAACACGUAUGAUUCCCGCUGUCCCACAUGCCGCCACGACGCAGGUUGAGUUAACUGUCGUGUAGGGCUCAGAUGCGGCGGACCUGACGCCAGCCUGGAGGGCUCACACACUGUGAGGAUUUACAGAGUUUAUUUUAGGGCGCACUUACUAUAGGGAGUUUGGAGAACGUAGGACAGCACGAAGACGGCAGGAGUCCUGCCGGCCUAGAAGCCACCUGUUGGCGUGCGGGGUUACGUCUGUCUGUUUUGACUAACGCCCUCGCUGGCCCUGGCCGCCAAGCCUCCUGCAGAAGCCCAUCCAGGCCGAGAGGCGGCUCCACACGGCCUGCACACGGCUCCAGCCUCGCCGGAGCUCAGCUCUCUUUCUGCCCACAAAGAGGCUGGUGGCAGCCUCUGUCCCGUCUUCCCACGAGCCAGUGCCACCAAACCGUUCUGUGGACUCGUGGCUGGCUCCAGCUUUCCUUACUUUGGGAUUGCAAAUAAAACCGUGGGCAACAGUAUCAGGACUGGAAGGACCACCAGCACCUGUGUGGUCAGUCGGCAGCCGUCACUGUCCAGGCGGACGAAGUCCACGUCACUGACAGCGUGAUGGAGAAAGUCACCGUGUGAGGGUCCCCGGGUCCUCCCGCCUUGGUUCCACGGAGCUGCCGGGGGUUGGGGACCUCAGGGGAUGUUGAGGAGAAGGUGAAAACACUUGCUGGUCAAGUUGUUAACAGACUCUAAGUGACCUGUGCCCUCAGAAAUGAGCUCCCGCCACCCAGAAGUCCAGAGGGAGGCCGGGGCAGCGGCUGGUGGACGCAGGCCCCAGGCCCAUGGCGCCUUCUCUCGGUGCUGUUUUUAUCCCCUGGAUCGCGUGCGCCUGGUCUUUCCCACAGGUGUGACGUGUGUGGUAACACACGUGUACAUAACGUGUCUGUCAAUAAAGGUGACCUCCCUGCCCCCCCGGGACGGGUGACCCCA